rnacentral:rRNA from 1 species
UACAGAGGUCUCAAGCGUUGUUCGGAUUCAUUGGGCGUAAAGGGUGCGUCGGUGGCAUGGUCAGUCGGAUGUGAAAUCCCGGGGCUCAACCCCGGAACUGCCUUCGAUACUGCUGCGCUAGAGUACUGGAGAGGAGAUUGGAAUUUACGGUGUAGCAGUGAAAUGCGUAGAUAUCGUAAGGAAGACCAGUGGCGAAGGCGGAUCUCUGGACAGUUACUGACACUGAGGCACGAAGGCCAGGGGAGCAAACGGG